AUUGAACGCUGGCGGCAGGCCUAACACAUGCAAGUCGAACGAGUGGCGGACGGGUGAGUAAUGUCUGGGAAACUGCCUGAUGGAGGGGGAUAACUACUGGAAAAGGUAGCUAAUACCGCAUACCAUCGGAUGUGCCCAGAUGGGAUUAGCUAGUAGGUGGGGUAAAGGCUCACCUAGGCGACGAUCCCUAGCUGGUCUGAGCGGAUGACCAGCCAGAAUGGAACUGAGACACGGGCCAGAGUCCUACGGGAGGCAGCAGUGGGGAAUAUUGGAAAAUGGGCGCAAGCCUGAUGCAGCCAGGACGCGUGUAUGAAGAAGGCCUGCGGGUUGUAAAGUAGUUUCAGCGGGGAGGCGUUACCCGCAGAAGAAGCACCGGCUAAGUCCGUGCCAGCAGCCGCGGUAAUAC
rnacentral:rRNA from 1 species